rnacentral:lncRNA from 1 species
UAAAAAUGAGGGCAAAUAUUCCCCCCCAAUUAGAGUUAUUAGAAAGUAGUAAAAAUGUAUUUUUACCAAAAGAGAGUGUGGCCAAAGAAGUCUUAAUGUAAGCUUACGAUUUCAUAAGUUGCUGCAGCCCUGGUAUUCCACCUCUGAUGUGCAGCAAAUGCAGCAGACCUCACUCCAGGUGCCCAGUGCAGCCGUGGUUCAGCACAUCGGGUUAAAAGAAGGUAGUCAUCAAGAGAAGCAAGCAAAAUGGAAAGGUGUGUGACUUCUAUCAGGGAAUUUGGAGCCUAUUUCAAGUUAUUGCAUCCUCAAGAGAAAGUUAAUUCGUAUGGUUUCACUGGAACUCUGUGGAUAUCUUCUGCUCUGGGUGACUCGCCAGCCGUACAUAUAGGUCUCUUAUAUGAACUGUUUGGAAUGGAGAACACUUUGCCAUCAGCACAAGAACGGAUGCUAGUUCCUUUGUUUAGCCCUUGCUGGAAAUUUUUUUGGACAGAUGCAGUCCAUGAGGGCCUGAUUUCCACAAACAGCUCUACGUUCUGCCAUCAGCUUAUUUCCCUCCCAUACAAAAUUGGCUUUGUGUUUGUGUUUUAA